AAAAAUCAUCUAUUUAAUUACUAUAUUUAUUAAAAAGCUUAAUUACAUAUUUUGAAUAUUGUAUAUUCAGUUUAAAUUAUUACUUGCAAACCUUAUUUUUAUGUAUAGUAAUAUUCACGUUAUUUUAUGAAUAUUCAUUAGGGAUUUACUUAAAUCAUUGUAUCUGAUUGGCUGUUUAUAUUUCGCGGUCAAGUUUAAUUUCCUUUGUUUUGUACCUGUACAUUUCCACGGACGAUAGCCAUGACAGUUCAUUGAAUGUAUGUCUGUUUAUCUUGACCACAUAGUUUACCUGUAAACCUUAUAUAUUUUGGACAACAUUAUUAUAGAAUACUGAAUCCAUGUAACGUAAUUAUGUAAAACACAUGAUUGUGUGAUGUUUAUAUGAUGUGCCGUUAACCGUAUCAGCACAACUCACUCCACAAGUGACUUGUUUUAUAUACUGGUAAAUAAAUCAUCAGAACCUUAGAUCUCAUUGUUGGUGUUAUUAACGCAUAGAAAACCACCUACUACAAAUGGCGC